rnacentral:lncRNA from 1 species
GUCUGUCGUGAGGGAGCCACACAUACGACGUUGACAGCCGCAGAACACACGCCAUUAUUACGGAUUACCGAGACAUUGGAGAAGAGUACCAACCGUGUUGGUGGAAGACGCUGGAAAUCUAUCUACGAACCUUCACAUGCUUCGUCAUUGGACAGAUCCGAGAAACAGACAAACUCCGAGGAUUGCAUUGACAGUCUGAGCAAGUGCGUCGCCAGAGUGCGCGCCGCGGACUCCUACAGGGAUGGAGAGCGUGAAGGUGGAUUUUGGCAUGUAGAUGCGCAGGUGAAAGGGCUUGUUCGUGAUGGUGCUGCAUAUGGGAGAGAAGUUGUGCCGUGACAGAGG